rnacentral:rRNA from 1 species
GUGUAAGUGUUUAAGGGCGCAUGGUGGAUGCCUUGGCACUGGGAGCCGAUGAAGGACGUGGGAGGCUGCGUUAUGCCUCGGGGAGCUGUCAACCGAGCGUGGAUCCGAGGAUGUCCGAAUGGGGAAACCCGGCACGAGUGAUGUCGUGUCACCCAACGCUGAAUAUAUAGGCGUUGGGGGGGAACGCGGGGAAGUGAAACAUCUCAGUACCCGUAGGAAGAGAAAACAAUUGUGAUUCCGUGAGUAGUGGCGAGCGAAAGCGGAGGAUGGCUAAACCGUGUGCAUGUGAUACCCGGCGGGGGUUGUGUGUGCGGUGUUGUGGGGCCUGUGUUCUCCUUUCCGCCGAGGGGAGCAGCAGUGAUAAAGCAGUGGGUUAGGUGAAGUGGCCUGGGAUGGUCUGCCGUAGUGGGUGAGAGCCCCGUAACCGAAAACUUGUUGCCUGUUGUCGCAGGAUCCCCGAGUAGCAGCGGGCCCGUGGAAUCUGCUGUGAAUCUGCCGGGACCACCCGGUAAGCCUGAAUACUUCUCAGUGACCGAUAGCGGAUCAGUACCGUGAGGGAAUGGUGAAAAGUACCCCGGGAGGGGAGUGAAAGAGUACCUGAAACCGUGUGCCUACAAUCCGUCAAAGCCUUCGAUUUAUUUCGUGGGGUGAUGGCGUGCCUUUUGAAGAAUGAGCCUGCGAGUCAGGGACAUGUCGCGAGGUUAACCCGGGUGGGGUAGCCGCAGCGAAAGCGAGUCUGAAUAGGGCGUAUCACGUCAGUAGUGGCGUGUGUAGUGGUGUGUUCUGGACCCGAAGCGGAGUGAUCUACCCAUGGCCAGGGUGAAGCGCGGGUAAGACCGCGUGGAGGCCCGAACCCACUUAGGUUGAAGACUGAGGGGAUGAGCUGUGGGUAGGGGUGAAAGGCCAAUCAAACUCCGUGAUAGCUGGUUCUCCCCGAAAUGCAUUUAGGUGCAGCGUUGCGUGUUUCUUGUUGGAGGUAGAGCUACUGGAUGGCCGAUGGGCCCUACUAGGUUACUGACGUCAGCCAAACUCCGAAUGCCGACAAGUUAAAGCGUGGCAGUGAGACGGCGGGGGAUAAGCUCCGUGCGUCGAGAGGGAAACAGCCCAGAUCGCCGGCUAAGGCCCCUAAGCGUGUGCUAAGUGGAAAAGGAUGUGCAGUCGCAAAGACAACCAGGAGGUUGGCUUAGAAGCAGCCACCCUUGAAAGAGUGCGUAAUAGCUCACUGGUCAAGUGAUUGUGCGCCGAUAAUGUAGCGGGGCUCAAGCACACCGCCGAAGCCGCGGCAGCAACACCUUGUGUGUUGUUGGGUAGGGGAGCGUCCUGCAUCCGGUGAAGCCACAGAGUGAUCUAGUGGUGGAGGGUGUGGGAGUGAGAAUGCAGGCAUGAGUAGCGAUAAGGCAAGUGAGAACCUUGCCCGCCGGAAGACCAAGGGUUCCUGGGCCAGGCCAGUCCGCCCAGGGUGAGUCGGGACCUAAGGCGAGGCCGACAGGCGUAGUCGAUGGACAACGGGUUGAUAUUCCCGUACCCGUGUAUGAGCGUCCCUGACGAAUCCAUACUGCUAACCACCCAAACGGUGGCCGACCAAUCCCUUCGGGGAGCGGGGGUCACCUGCUGCGUGGGACCCGUGUGGGUAGUAGUCAAGCGAUGGGGUGACGCAGGAAGGUAGCCGUACCAGUCAGUGGUAAUACUGGGGCAAACCUGUAGGGAGAAACCUAGGCAAAUCCGGGUUUCACAUAUCCUGAGAGGUGAUGCAUAGCCGAGUGAGGCGAAUUCGGUGAUCCUAUGCUGUCGAGAAAAGCCUCUAGCGAGUCCAUACACGGCCCGUACCCCAAACCAACACAGGUGGUCAGGUAGAGAAUACCAAGGCGUACGAGUGAACUAUGGUUAAGGAACUCGGCAAAAUGCCCCCGUAACUUCGGGAGAAGGGGGACCCCCAUACCGUCAACCCACUUGCUGGGGGCAGCGGGAGGGGGUGGCACAAACCAGUGAGAAGCGACUGUUUACUAAAAACACAGGUCCGUGCGAAGUCGCAAGACGAGGUAUACGGACUGACGCCUGCCCGGUGCUGGAAGGUUAAGAGGACCCGUUAACCCCGUAAGGGGUGAAGCGGAGAAUUUAAGCCCCAGUAAACGGCGGUGGUAACUAUAACCAUCCUAAGGUAGCGAAAUUCCUUGUCGGGUAAGUUC